ACCUCGCGAGAGCAAGCGGACCUCAUAAAGUGCGUCGUAGUCCGGAUCGGAGUCUGCAACUCGACUCCGUGAAGUCGGAAUCGCUAGUAAUCGUGGAUCAGAAUGCCACGGUGAAUACGUUCCCGGGCCUUGUACACACCGCCCGUCACACCAUGGGAGUGGGUUGCAAAAGAAGUAGGUAGCUUAACCUCCGGGAGGGCGCUUACCACUUUGUGAUUCAUGACUGGGGUGAAGUCGUAACAAGGUAACCGUAGGGGAACCUGCGGUUGGAUCACCUCCUUACCUUAAAGA
rnacentral:rRNA from 1 species